rnacentral:rRNA from 1 species
GUGUCAGCAGCCGCGGUAAUACAGAGGUGUCAAGCGUUGCUCGGUGUCACUGGGCUUAAAGGGCGCGUAGGCUGUGCAGUACGGCUCGGGUGAAAUCCCUCGGCCCAACCGAGGAACCGCCCGGGCGACGGCUGCGCUGGACUGCAUCAGGGGCGGAUGGAACUCCCGGUGGAGCGGUGAAAUGCGUAGAUAUCGGGAGGAACGCCGGUGGCGAAAGCGAUCCGCUGGGGUGCAUGUGACGCUGAGGCGCGAAAGCCAGGGGAGCAAACGGGAUUAGAAACCCUAGUAGUCC